GACGACGACGACGACGACGACGACGACGACGACGACGACGACGACGACGACGACGACGACGACGACGACGACGACGACGACGACGACGACGACGACGACGACGACGACGACGACGACGACGACGACGACGACGACGACGACGACGACGACGACGACGACGACGACGACGACGACGACGACGACGACGACGACGACGACGACGACGACGACGACGACGACGACGACGACGACGACGACGACGACGACGACGACG
rnacentral:lncRNA from 1 species